CAGGCCCAUCAACCCCUCCCAUUUCUAAACCCAUUAUUUCCCUAGGCCGAUCAGUCUCUCCCAUGCCAAAACCCAUUAGCCCAAUCUCUUCAAACACAUCAGUUAUUCCCAUUCCAACCCUUCUAACCAAGACGACCAUCAUUAAGAAAGCUAUCUAGCCCAAACUAAAGCCUAAGGAAGAGUUGGUUGACCUAGGGCUCCCUCUCAAACUCUCCAAGGCUUAGUAGGAACUACAAACCUGAAACCCUUCCUAAUCCAAAUCCCUAUCCCAAUCCUCAAUCAAAUCCAGUGCCAUUCGAAAUUGAAAUCGUAGGUUCAAUGACGAUUCUGACUCUGUUCCACAGUCACUUCCUCAUAAGCAUGCUGAGAAUGCUUUGGAAGCUGCCAAAAUCCUGGGAUUCGAUCUUCCAGUUGAAGAAGAGGUUCUCUUCAAUGAUUUCAUUGAAAUGGAGAUGAUUAAUAAAUCUCAACUUUAGAAGUCUUCCAAGAAGGUGAUAUGAAGAUCCUCUCUUAGAACAUGAGAGGGAUUAGGAGGUCUGAAAAGAAGAGUAUGGUCAGAUCCAUUACGGCCUCUCGUCAUGUUGAUGUCAUUUUUAUUCAGGAUUCGAAACUAUAAUCUGUUUCCAAAAAAAAACCGUUCGUAUUAGUUGGGGGAAAGGUGAUUUUCAGUGGGAAACAAUUCCUUCACUUGGUCUCUUGGUGAUCUAUUAUGAUGAAAUUGAGCAGUCUGCCUUAUGGGCAGAGCUUUUGGCUCUUGAACCUCUCUUUCCGUGCCCAUGGAUUAUUGGAGGAGAUUUCAAUGAAGUUUGUCGUAUCAGUGAAAAAAAAAGGCCCCCUUUGUCAUAAUAAAGCAUUUUAGGUGCUGAUGAUAUGUCUCUGUCAAGACAAUAGCUUGAGAAGACUUGGAGCAAGAGCUUUAUUUUGUUGGUUCUUUUAUGUAUGUUUUGUACAAGUCAAGGGCCUUUAAUUGUAUUGGACUUGAAAUUUCACUUUUGCUGUAGUCGAUAACUGUCUUGGAAAGUUGUAAGCGUUUAGAGCAUUUAUUAUCUGUUUUUACUUUCACAUCUUUCCUCUUGUUGUAACAUAUGGUAUAGAUUCAGGGUUAGACUUAUGAAUUUAUAUCUGUGUAGGUCACCUUUUUGUAUAAAAAAUCA